CCUACGGGCGGCUGCAGUGAGGAAUAUUGGUCAAUGGCCGGAAGGCUGAACCAGCCAUGCCGCGUGAAGGUCAGUGCCCUAUGGGCGUUAAACUUCUUUUGUGCGGGAGCAAUAAUGGUCACGUGUGGCCAGACGAGAGUACCGUACGAAUAAGCAUCGGCUAACUCCGUGCCAGCAGCCGCGGUAAUACGGAGGAUGCGAGCGUUAUCCGGAUUUAUUGGGUUUAAAGGGAGCGUAGGUGGGUUGUUAAGUCAGUUGUGAAAGUCCCCGGCUCAACGGUAGAAGUGCAAUUGAUACUGGCAGGCUGGAGUGCAGUUGAGGUAGGCGGAAUUCGUGGUGUAGCGGUGAAAUGCUUAGAUAUCACGCAGAACUCCGAUUGCGAAGGCAGCUUACGAAUCUGCCACUGACAUUGAUGCUCGAAAGUGUGGGUAUCAAACAGGAUUAGAUACCCUUGUAGUC
rnacentral:rRNA from 1 species